rnacentral:lncRNA from 1 species
UACCCCCUCUCCCCUCUCUCAUCCCUCACGUCACCCUCUUCUCUCACCCUCGAUUUACCGGAACAAGGAGGCAGACGCCACCACCGCGGUGUGCCGCCGCCUCCGGCGUCUCUUUCCCCUUCACUGGUGGACUCAGGGCCAGGAGCCACCGCUGCAGUCUCCCUUUCUCUCCCCUUUUCCCUCUAUGCCGAUGAACGGCGUAAAACGACGCUGUCUCCCCCUCUUUCUUCCCCUUUCUUCCUGCAGAUCUGGAACCGCACAACGGCAUAGCUGCCGUCGUCGCGCCGCCGCCGUUCGUCUGCCCAGGUAAACCCUAAUUCCCCUUUUUCAUUUUUAUUUUUUUCUAGGGCACAACAUAGCGUGGCUGUCUGAUUUGCAGAGGGAAUGAGGGAGGUCUAAAAACGAGGGAGGAGGGAGGCGGUGGCUUUCUGAUUUGCAGAGGAAAGAGGUGGUGGUGGGUGGCUUUCUGCCGCUGCGCCACAGAUCUGGUUGUGGGAGGAGCAACGGCGGUGACGGCGGGGUGAGGACAGAGAGAGAGCGCGGCGAUAAGGGUGUUUUUACAACUCAGACGAGGGUGGCUGGCGCUGGCGACUUCGCCGGAACAGGGGGCGAGCUGGUGGCUGGCCGCCGAUGAUUGGGUUCUGGUGGUCUGGAGAUUUCGCCCCAUUUUUUUUUAAAUUGUAGUUGAAAAUCAAAACGACGUCAUUUUGAUUAAAACUAAACAACGUCGUUNN